AUUGAACGCUGGCGGCAUGCCUUACACAUGCAAGUCGAACGGUAGAGGGGCAACCCUCGAGAGUGGCGAACGGGUGAGUAAUGCAUCGGAACGUGCCCAGUCGUGGGGGAUAACGUAGCGAAAGCUACGCUAAUACCGCAUACGACCCGAGGGUGAAAGCGGGGGACUCGCAAGGGCCUCGCGCGAUUGGAGCGGCCUAUGUCAGAUUAGGUAGUUGGUGGGGUAAAGGCCUACCAAGCCGACGAUCUGUAGCUGGUCUGAGAGGACGACCAGCCACAAUGGGACUGAGAGACGGCCCAGACUCCUACGGGAGGCAGGAGUGGGGAAUUUUGGACAAUGGGCGCAAGCCUGAUCCAGCCAUGCCGCGUGCGGGAAGAAGGCCUUCGGGUUGUAAACCGCUUUUGUCAGGGAAGAAAUCUUCUGGGUUAAUACCUCGGGAGGAUGACGGUACCUGGAGAAUAAGCACCGGCUAACUACGUGCCAGCAGCCGCCGUAAUAC
rnacentral:rRNA from 1 species